AGCAGUCGCCGCGGUAAUACGAAGGGGGCUAGCGUUGCUCGGAAUGACUGGGCGUAAAGGGCGCGUAGGCGGCGGCCAAAGUCAGGCGUGAAAUCCCCGGGCUUAACCUGGGAACUGCAUUUGUGACUGGCGGGCUAGAGUAUGGCAGAGGGGGGUAGAAUUCCACGUGUAGCAGUGAAAUGCGUAGAGAUGUGGAGGAAUACCGAUGGCGAAGGCAAUCCCCUGGACCUGUACUGACGCUCAUGCACGAAAGCGUGGGGAGCAAACAGGAUUAGAUACCCCAGUAGUCCCUGUCUCUUAUAC
rnacentral:rRNA from 1 species